CACAACAACACGUUUGGCUGCGGUACCGGAUUGCUUUCGUGUUUUGUCGGAAAUCCGUUUUGAUGUAAUUCUUCACGGUUAUUUCUUCCCUGUUGCGUUACGGCGCUGACGAGGGGUUAGCUCAGCAUAGCGUUACGUUACCCCACUCAUGCAGGAGGAAAUUAACUCGUGCGGUUUAACAGCAGGUGCACGGGGAUACCGCAACACCUGCCGCUACAGGCUGAGUCACUGCUGGUGAGGAGGAAGGUCUGGAGAGGGAACGAGAGAGGAGGUGGAGGAGGUGGUGGAGGAGAAGGGGGAGAAGACGAAGAAAAAAAGGAGGGAUUGGAGGGAGAUAAUCAACAACAGGAAGCAAAACCACACAGCGCUUACACAUACACUCUGCGUGUUUGUGUGUCUGAAAGGGAGACUGCGCGAACGAGAGGGUGAACGGGAAAGGAAGGAAGGGAGGGAGAGUGACGCGGAGGCUGGGAGAGCCGCUCCCCCCUCCUCCUCCUCCUCUCCUCCUCUCCCUCUCUUUCUCUCCUCUCCUCCCCUCCUCCCUCUCUCUCUCUGUGGAGCAGGCGUGUAGCGGCAUCAGACUCGGCGUGAAGGAACCAUGAGCGAUGUCACCAUCGUUAGAGAGGGAUGGCUCCAGAAACGGGGUAAGUACAU